rnacentral:rRNA from 1 species
GACGAACGCUGGCGGCGUGCUUAACACAUGCAGGUCGAACGGAAAGGCCCUGCUUUUGUGGGGUGCUCGAGUGGCGAACGGGUGAGUAACACGUGAGUAACCUGCCCUUGACUUUGGGAUAACUUCAGAAAACUGGGGCUAAUACCGGAUAGGAGCUCCUGCUGCAUGGUGGGGGUUGGAAAGUUUCGGCGGUUGGGGAUGGACUCGCGGCUUAUCAGCUUGUUGGUGGGGUAGUGGCUUACCAAGGCUUUGACGGGUAGCCGGCCUGAGAGGGUGACCGGCCACAUUGGGACUGAGAUACGGCCCAGACUCCUACGGGAGGCAGCAGUGGGGAAUAUUGCACAAUGGGCGGAAGCCUGAUGCAGCAACGCCGCGUGCGGGAUGACGGCCUUCGGGUUGUAAACCGCUUUCGCCUGUGACGAAGCGUGAGUGACGGUAAUGGGUAAAGAAGCACCGGCUAACUACGUG